CACGUAGGGGGCAAGCGUUGUCCGGAUUUAUUGGGCGUAAAGAGCUCGUAGGCGGCUCAGUAAGUCGGGUGUGAAACCUCCAGGCUCAACCUGGAGACGCCACCUGAUACUGCUGUGGCUAGAGUCCGGUAGGGGAGACUGGAAUUCCUGGUGUAGCGGUGGUAAUGCGCAGAGUAUCAGGAGGAACACCGAUGGCGAAGGCAGGUCUCCUGGGCCGAUAACUGACGCUGAGAAGCGAAAGCAUGGGGAGCGAACAGG
rnacentral:rRNA from 1 species